UACGUAGGGUGCAAGCGUUUAUCCGGAAUUAUUGGGCGUAAAGAGCUCGUAGGCGGUUUGUCGCGUCUGCUGUGAAAACUGGAGGCUCAACCUCCAGCCUGCAGUGGGUACGGGCAGACUAGAGUGCGGUAAGGGGAGAAUGGAACUCCGUGGUGUAGCGGUGGAAUGCGCAGAUAUCAGGAAGAACACCGAUGGCGAAGGCAGUUCUCUGGGCCGUAACUGACGC
rnacentral:rRNA from 1 species